rnacentral:rRNA from 1 species
ACGGUAACAGGAAGCAGCUUGCUGCUUCGCUGACGAGUGGCGGACGGGUGAGUAAUGUCUGGGAAACUGCCUGAUGGAGGGGGAUAACUACUGGAAACGGUAGCUAAUACCGCAUAACGUCGCAAGACCAAAGGGGGGGGACCUUCGGGCCUCUUGCCAUCGGAUGUGCCCAGAUGGGAUUAGCUUGUUGGUGGGGUAACGGCUCACCAAGGCGACGAUCCCUAGCUGGUCUGAGAGGAUGACCAGCCACACUGGAACUGAGACACGGUCCAGACUCCUACGGGAGGCAGCAGUGGGGAAUAUUGCACAAUGGGCGCAAGCCUGAUGCAGCCAUGCCGCGUGUAUGAAGAAGGCCUUCGGGUUGUAAAGUACUUUCAGCGGGGAGGAAGGGAGUAAAGUUAAUACCUUUGCUCAUUGACGUUACCCGCAGAAGAAGCACCGGCUAACUCCGUGCCAGCAGCCGCGGUAAUACGGAGGGUGCAAGCGUUAAUCGGAAUUACUGGGCGUAAAGCGCACGCAGGCGGUUUGUUAAGUCAGAUGUGAAAUCCCCGGGCUCAACCUGGGAACUGCAUCUGAUACUGGCAAGCUUGAGUCUCGUAGAGGGGGGUAGAAUUCCAGGUGUAGCGGUGAAAUGCGUAGAGAUCUGGAGGAAUACCGGUGGCGAAG